AGUGCAGUCCUGCUGUCUAGUCUCUUGAGUCUGCAGUGGCUGCUGGAGACUUGGCGGUGCUGCACAGAUCAGACAUAAGAAGCAAAAGGCGUGACAUCCACAGACUUUGAAGUUUUAUGUAUAAUAUUCUUUUAACACAUAGUGUCCUGUUUCCACGAUGGUGAUGGUUUUCUGUGUACUGUUACCAAUCUAAAAACAGGCAGUGCAAAGCAGCGUCAAUCAGAUAUUGUCUGGCAGGAGAAGCGCACCUUGAGUUGCCACAGUU